GAAUUAGCCCCUGGCCCCUGGCCCCAAAACGUGUGACUAUUGCCAUCUUCUUCUAAACAAUCACUUCACUAAGCUUGACGGCCUCCCUCCUCCUCCCUCUCGCCGCCUCUCCCUCCACCUCCUCCCGCCGUCUUCCCCGCCAUGCUGGACCCCGGAGGAAACCUCCGCCCUCAUCGACGCCUACCGCGACAAGUGGUCCUCCCACGGCCGCACCAACCUCAAAGCCACCCAUUGGCAAGAGGUUGCCGAUGCCGUUACUGCCCAGUGCCCCAGCGCUUCCCCCACUGCCAAAACCGCCGCCAGUGUCGCCACAAAAUGGAAAAACUCCGCAAACGUUACCCCACCGAAAUCCAGCGCGUCCGCUCCCUCCCUCUCCCUCGCCUCAUCAACAACUCCACCGCCCCUUCACCCUCCUCCUGGAUUUAUUUCAAAUCCAUGGAUUCCAUGGAAAAAAGGCCCCAACAAACCCCAUACCGACACCGCCGCCGCCACCAACAACCUCAAUUUCCCCGACGAAUUCCAACUCAAUCUCUAACGCAAUCUAAUCUCGUGGGUUCAUCUUUAACGCAAUCUAAUCUCGUGACUCCAUCCCCUCCUAGAUCUAUUAUCUAACCGGCUGUAAUAAGUUGUGACUAGCCUUCCCCUGAGCUCCUUCGCGAUGUUAUUAAUAGAUUUGAAGCAAAACAGGUACAUGACCUGCUCGUAAGCAUGUCGAGGUAAGCUGACAUACUAUCUCUUCCUCUGCCUCAGUCCCGGUAAGCUUUCCUCUGUUGACACUAACAUAUAUAUGAAUUUAUUUGAUUAUCUUGUUUUUUUCUUUCUUUAAUUUGCUUUUACUAUGUCAUUUUUGUGCUUAUGUCUUUAUCAAUGUGAGCCGUGGUCACCUUUGAAAAUAGAUUUAUUUAUUGCUGUUUCUUUGAUUUUUGGUUCAGCUUAAUUGUUUGUGAUGGUUCAUUUCUAUGUUUGGAUUGGUGAAAAAUGAUGGAAUGAGGUGGGUGUUUUUGAAAUUUUGCAUUGCAUAUUUUAGCCUUUUUACUCCCUGCUAACUCUUCAAUAUAAUGCAUCAACUAUUAUAUUUUA